CCUACGGGAGGCAGCAGUGAGGAAUAUUGGUCAAUGGCCGGAAGGCUGAACCAGCCAAGUCGCGUGAGGGAAUAAGGCCCUAUGGGUCGUAAACCUCUUUUGUCAGGGAGCAAAGGCGGCCACGAGUGGACGAAAGGAGAGAACCUGAAGAAAAAGCAGCGGCGAACUCCGUGCCAGCAGCCGCGGUAAUACGGCGGAUGCGAGCGUUAGCCGGAUUUAUGGGGUUUAAAGGGGGCGUAGGCGGAGUGUCAAGUCAGCGGUAAAAUUUCGGGGCUCAACCCCGUCGGGCCGUUGAAACUGACACCCUUGAGUGGGUGAGAAGUAAGCGGAAUGCGUGGUGUAGCGGUGAAAUGCAUAGCUAUCACGCAGAACGCCGAUUGCGAAGGCAGCUUACCGGCGCUCACCUGACGCUGAGGCACGAAAGUGCGGGUAUCGAACAGGAUUAGAUACCCUUGUAGUC
rnacentral:rRNA from 1 species